UGGGUUGGUAAAUCUCGUGCCAGCCACCGCGGUUAGACGGGAGGCCCAAACUGACACCCUGCGGCGUAAAGCGUGAUUAGGGUCAUAAAAAACUAAAGCCGAACAGCUCCCCAACUGUUAUACGUUUAGAGAGACAUGAAGCCCAACAACGAAAGUGGCUUUAACUAAACAUCCUGAAUUCACGAAAAUUAAGAAACAAACUGGGAUUAGAUACCCCACUAUGCUUAACCGUAAACAAUGAUGGGAACUCACAAAUACCAUCCGCCAGGGAAUUACGAACACUAGUUUAAAACCCAAAGGACUUGACGGUGCUUCAAACCCACCUAGAGGAGCCUGUCCUAUAACCGAUAAUCCCCGUUAAACCUCACCACUCCUUGCCAACCCAGUUUAUAUACCACCGUCGCCAGCUUACCCCAUGAGGGCACAAUAGUAAGCUAAAUGGGUCACCACCCAGUACGUCAGGUCAAGGUGUAGCCAACGGAGUGGGAAGAGAUGGGCUACAUUUUCUGAAACAGAAUACUACUGAAGGUGUAAUGAAACAAAACGCAAUUUGAAGGUGGAUUUAGCAGUAAAGAGAGAAUAGAGAGCUCUCCUGAAACUGGCUCUGAAGCGCGUACACACCGCCCGUCACCCUCCUA
rnacentral:rRNA from 1 species